CUGAACACAGAAAAACGUUUGACAGGAAAAGUGACAAUAUACUCAAUACUGGAAUUUGAUCUCAACCUCAACAUUGCUUAUCUAAAUAGUUCCAAAAUUUACAGAUAUUAAUAAGGACUGGGGACCCCACCAGUGGCCUUGCAUAGGCUAGGGGUUUAAAAGAUGAAAUGGAAAUGCCCUCCCCCGAUAAUGAAAUUGAUGCUAUCCUAGAGCCUUCAUCCAGGGGCUGAUAUAAGCAGAGGCAGACACCCUCAGCUAAACACUGAACUGAACUCCUGGAAUCCAGUUGCAGAGAGGAAGGAGUGAAGAGCAAAGGGGUCAAGACCGAGCUACUGAAACCCACAGAAACUGCUGACUUGAACAAGGGGUGCUCAUGGACCCUAGACUGAUGGCUGGGAGACCAGUCUGGGACUGACCCAGAAUCCCUGAACAUGGGUGUAGGUUAGGAGGCCUCGGCGAUCUAUGGGGCCUCUGGCAGUGGAUCAGUAUUUAUCCCUGGAGUACAAAUGGACUUUGGCAGCCCAUUUCACGUGGAGGGAUGCUCUCUCAUCCUGGAUACAUGGGGGAAGCCCUAGGCCCUGCCCCAUACGGUAUGACAGACUUUAGGGAUCCCCCAUGGAGAGCCUCACUCUCCCUGGGGAGUGGAGAGAUGUCAUGGGGAAGGGGUUGGUGGGAGAUGGGGGAGAAGGGGAGGGAGAGGGAGCUGGGAUUGACAUGUGAAGCAGACUUGUUUCUAAUUUAAAUUUUAAAAAAGUGAUGAUUUUCCAUGUUUAAUGCACUUGGAUAUUCUAUUUUUGUAGAUAAUUCCAUUUGGUGAGAAUGGCUAUGCUUUAAAAUAGGUAACUUUAUUUGACAACCCAUGGCUUCUGGGAGGAGCAUUAAUCUCUGUGUUGGAAGUUAGAGUUAUAUUUUAUAGAUUAGUAAAUUGCUAUAUGGCUUUUCAAACAUCUCCAAUAUUUGUUAUCCUUCCCCAUCCCAUCCUCCUCCCUACCCUCACAACUUCCUCCAACAUAAACCUCCCUCCUUGUCAUUUCCCUAUUUUUAUAUAUUAAUUAGCUCAUAAAGUAGCAUGUUUCCACAUGGGAUUUCACUUGGUUGAUUUUCCUCUCUCAUUCUCCCUGUCCCUCCCUGUCACCAAUACUCCCCCUUCUACUUUAUUCUAUUACAGAAUCUCCAUAAGCCCUCUUUUUGUUAAUUCUCAUGACCCCUGUCUAGUUUCUUGGGCUUUGUCCGUGUUUACUUUCACUUGGAUGCACAUGUUUAACAGUUAAGGUCUAAGAAUUGUAUAUAAGAGAAAACAUAUGUCUUCCAAUGUUAUCUUGCUUAGUAUAAUGCUUUUUCAGUUGUAAUAUUUUUUCUCAAAUUUCAUUAUUUCAGAUUUCUUUAUGGCUGAAUAAAAUUUCAGCUUAUAUGUAUUUUAUAAUGCAUUUCAUUAUCUAUUAUCUGUUGGUGGAAAUAUAUCCUAAUUUUAUUUCAUUGAUCCUGUAAAAAGAGUAAUAAUAGAUAGGAUAAUUAAGGCAACUUAGGGUUGAUGUGAUGAAGUGUCUGGUCCAAGAAAAUGGAAAUCUGUAUGAAAGUUUCUCAAAAAGCUAAAAAUAGAACAACCAUACAACCCCACUAUAGUACUUUGGGGUGUAUACCCAAACCAUACUACACUGCAUUAUAGAAAUAUUUUCUUAUCUAUGUUUACUGCUACUCUUUCCAGCUGCCCAUUAUUAGCCUCUUAAUAGCCUAAAACAACUUUGAGACACAUAGGGGUUCCUUGGGGAUUUGUGGGAUGUUAUCUUCUAAAAGAUUUGAGCCCAAGAGUCUCAUCUCAGUUGGAAGACAAUGGAACACAGAUUCUCUCUAUGUACACAAAAAAGCCUGAAAUGUUUUCAUCUGCACAUCCUUCCCAUGUGCCUGGUUAAUAUCUAACCACCACCAAUUAACAUUUCUGUUAAUUUACCUGUAACAUGCUUCAUUUUCCCCUUCAGAAUGCACUUGAGAUCAUGUUAGAUUCAGAAACAUCAUUUGGCUUUGAGUUGUGUUCUAUUUCCCCUCUUAACAUUAAACCCAAAUAAAUAUGUAGCGCCUUGCUAGAUUAUUCUUGAUUUGCAAGUGAGGUGACAUAGAAAACAAU
ensembl:lncRNA